GUUCAUUAGCGACAGUGUGGAGAUGCUCCUUAAGCUGUAGUUGGAGUGCCCAAAUGAAAAACAAUGAAUCCAAGCAGAAAACAGCUGCUACUUACUGCUUGCAGGCCCAGGCACAUGUGCAGGAGUCACUGCUUAGUCAUCACCCAAAUCCAAGGAAGAGGAACUGCAUAAGAUAUGGAUACAGGACAAAGUAGAAGAGAAUUUAAAACCUCUGGGGUACAGCUUCAAAUAAACACUCCUGCCUUCAGCUGUACAAGGGAUCUUCAAAAAAAAGAAUGGCAUCUCUGCCGUGUCAGCCUGAAGUAAAGAUGCCGAAGCAAGUGGCUACUAAACACAGAGUCACACUUGAUGUGUUAAUUAUUGGAAGACUGGUACUGCUUCUGUAAACACUAAGGCCUGCUGGCCUAGUGAUGCAGGCAGGGGCCCUGUGCUCUCAUGUGAUGUUCCAUAUUUGCUACCAGGGGUGUACAUCACAUCCUAGGUCUUAACGGGUAUGUGCAGAGGCAGCUUUGUGAAGAGGCAUGUUCCUGUUGUCAUAAAUGUUGGUGUGGGUUCCACAUCAUUACUUACUGGACAGUACAUAGUGGCACAUACUGUCUUGGUUUCAAGUCAAAGACCACAUGGUUUGAGGACCAUACUAAUAGAAGAUAGUAUUCAAGACAAGCAGUGCAUGUCAGUGGAACCAAUUUCCCCACUGACCUACAAACGAUGCAUUUCAGAAACCUGUCUAACCAUCGGCCUCCUGCAGAGCAUACAUACCAAAUGAACUGAUUAUCCACUGAUUUCCUGCAAAGCAUUUCAGCCAAAAUAACCGAUUACCUGCAAAUCACAUAUGUCAACCAAACCACUUUUGUAGACGCUUAUCAACCACAUGUGCCAAAUGAACUGAUUUCCUGGUGACCUCCUUUAGACUGUGUUCCACUGCCAAUUGAAACAGCUAUCCAUGUAUGCCAAAACAACUGAUUACUCGGUUACUUCUUGCAAGUGUAUGUGCCAAAUAAUACUCAAUGAUCUCCUGAUGUCCAUAUGUACCACAUUAACCUAUAUCUUAAUGACCUGCAAGAUAUGUAUGCCAAUUGAAAUCAUUACCCAGUGACCUACAAACCAUGAAAGCCAAAUAAAGUGAUUAUCACAUGACUGUACUUUCACAUAUACUACACAUACUUAAGGCUGAGAAUGACUGCAGCUGUCUGAUGACUAAGCAUGUCCCAUGGUCUGGGAUGUAAAGCUGAUGGCUCCCUAGUGAACACUUUACAUGCUGGAAACAAGACAAAAAAGUGGAUAGUGAAAGAGUUUUCAUGUGGAUUACCUUUAAUACAGUAUCAAUGGUGAGCAACUGGAAACAUGUUUGGAAACCCACAGUUUUAAAUUGUUUAUUUAGGACUCUUUUCUCUAACAAAAACUCAAAUUUAUUCACAUGUAUGAACAAGAGCAUGGUAAAAAUGACUGCAGGGAACAAAACCACCCCCCAUGUUAAAUGCAUGAAGAAGACUCACAGAUGUGGCUUGGUACUUCUCUGUUGCCAUGCCAUGGCUACUGUAAGGUUAUUUCUGUGUGUUGCUUUCAAUGAAAAACCCCAGAUGCCUUUCUUCAUUGUACUGCUUUAGCAGAAGCCUCUAAUUUUCUUACUACUCCCCUUCUGAAGUUCAGUGAUAUAGCAAACUAUUUUAUCUUUUUGUUUUCUAUAUUAAACUGACACGCAGACAUAGUUAGAUUGGUCUAGCAGUUUAGCUCAGCAGGUUAAGGCAGUUAGUUGUUAACAGAUUUAUCCUGUAGUUCUGGGUUUGAUUCCAUUACCAGCUGAAAAGUAUGCAACUUAAACAAAUCACGUUGCCAACAGUCUGUCUGGGUUGUCUCAGAAAAAGGUCACUUUUGCUCAGUGGGAUGAACUGCCUAAUAAAUUUUGUUUUAUUGACUGGGGUAGAGCCAUGAUCUCAGUUGUCCAAUUUCAGUCUCAGACCAGUGUAGACAAUUUAAUUUAUUUACCAGAAAAGUCCAACUUGGAACAAAGCCAAUUUUCAGCAGAGGCCCAGG